CAGGUCACUCCUACGGGAGGCAGCAGUGGGGAAUUUUGGACAAUGGGGGCAAGCCUGAUCCAGCAAUGCCGCGUGUGUGAAGAAGGCCUUCGGGUUGUAAAGCACUUUUAUCAGGAGCGAAAUACUACUGGCUAAUAACCGGUGGGGCUGACGGUACCUGAGGAAUAAGCACCGGCUAACUUCGUGCCAGCAGCCGCGGUAAUACGAAGGGUGCAAGCGUUAAUCGGAAUUACUGGGCGUAAAGCGUGCGUAGGCGGUGAGUUAAGUCUGUUGUGAAAUCCCCGGGCUCAACCUGGGAAUGGCAAUGGAUACUGGCUCGCUAGAGUGUGAUAGAGGAUGGUGGAAUUCCCGGUGUAGCGGUGAAAUGCGUAGAGAUCGGGAGGAACAUCAGUGGCGAAGGCGGCCAUCUGGAUCAACACUGACGCUGAGGCACGAAAGCGUGGGGAGCAAACAGGAUUAGAUACCCUGGUAGUCCACGCCCUAAACGAUGCGAACUGGAUGUUGGUCUCAACUCGGAGAUCAGUGUCGAAGCUAACGCGUUAAGUUCGCCGCCUGGGGAGUACGGUCGCAAGACUGAAACUCAAAGGAAUUGACG
rnacentral:rRNA from 1 species